rnacentral:rRNA from 1 species
GAUGAACGCUGGCGGCGUGCCUAAUACAUGCAAGUCGAGCGAACAGACGAGGAGCUUGCUCCUCUGACGUUAGCGGCGGACGGGUGAGUAACACGUGGAUAACCUACCUAUAAGACUGGGAUAACUUCGGGAAACCGGAGCUAAUACCGGAUAAUAUAUUGAACCGCAUGGUUCAAUAGUGAAAGACGGUUUUGCUGUCACUUAUAGAUGGAUCCGCGCCGCAUUAGCUAGUUGGUAAGGUAACGGCUUACCAAGGCAACGAUGCGUAGCCGACCUGAGAGGGUGGUCGCCCACCCUGGAACUGGGCCACGGUCCAGACUCCUACGGGACGCAGCAGAAGGGAAUCUUCCGCAAUGGGCGAAAGCCUGACGGAGCAACGCCGCGUGAGUGAUGAAGGUCUUCGGAUCGUAAAACUCUGUUAUUAGUGAAGAACAAAUGUGUAAGUAACUAUGCACGUCUUGACGGUACCUAAUCAGAAAGCCACGGCUAACUACGUG